UACGUAGGGUGCGAGCGUUGUCCGGAAUUAUUGGGCGUAAAGAGCUCGUAGGCGGUGUGUCGCGUCGGCCGUGAAAACCUGGGGCUUAACUCUGGGCGUGCGGUCGAUACGGGCAUCACUAGAGUUCGGCAGGGGAGACUGGAAUUCCUGGUGUAGCGGUGAAAUGCGCAGAUAUCAGGAGGAACACCAGUGGCGAAGGCGGCCAUCUGGGACAACACUGACGCUGAAGCACGAAAGCGUGGGGAGCAAACAGG
rnacentral:rRNA from 1 species